rnacentral:rRNA from 1 species
AUGGUAUAUGAGUUUUAUGCUAACUUAUUCACCUCUGAACCUUGUACCUCAUUAGAUGCAGUGCUGGAAGCAAUUCCUUCUAAGGUGAAUGAAGAAAUCAAUGAAGCGCUUUGUCGAGAAUAUACAAAUGACGAAAUCAAGACUGCACUAUUCCAGAUGGGCCCCACCAAGGCCCCUGGACCCGACGGAUUUCCUGCUCUAUUUUACCAAAAACAUUGGGAGCUGCUAGAAGAGGAUAUUUGUGCAGCAGUGAAGGGUUUUCUAUUGGGAUCCGAAAUUCCAGAAGGCUUCAAUGAUCCGCAAAAGGAAGCUUCCGGAGAAUUGAAGGGGAUUCGUAAUGGCAGAAAUGGCCCUCCUAUCUCCCAUCUCCUUUUUGCCGACACCAGCGUGUUCUUUACUAAAGGAGAUGAUAGGAGUAUUGAUACUCUUAAAUCAGCUAUUCAAACUUAUUGCGAUGGGUCUGGACAGAAGAUUAAUACUCGAAAAUCAUCUAUAUUCUUUGGCACCAAUUGUAAUGAGCAAAUAAAGGAAAGGGUAAAGCAGAAGAUGGGAAUCCAAGAUGAUACACUACAAGCUACUUAUCUUGGUAUGCCGACCUGGGUGGGACGUUCACCAACGAACAGCUUUAGCUUUCUCACUGGUCGACUCUGGAAAAAACUCAACGGUUGGAGUGAUAGACCUCUGUCAAGGGCUGGGAAGGAAAUUCUAUUAAAAUCAGUCGCACAGGCAAUGCCAACUUAUGUAAUGAGUUGCUUUCAACUUCCCAUUGGUGUCUGUGAAAAGAUGAAAAGGCCUAUUUCAAAUUUCUGGUGGGGUGUAGAAGAUGGGAGAAGGAAAGUGCAUUGGAGAUCUUGGAAGUGGUUAUCCUCGCCAAAAUAUUUAGGUGGCAUGGGCUUUAGAGACUUAGCAAUUUUCAAUCUGGCUUUGUUGGGAAAACAAUGUUGGCGCCUAUUAACAAAUGCUAAUUCAUUGUGUGCCAAGGUUUUAAAAGGAAUGUACUAUCCAGAAGGGAUUUUUGGACAGCUAAAUGCCCGAGGUCAUCUUCAUAUACUUGGCGUAGUCUGA